ensembl:lncRNA
GUUGUUGUACUAUAUAAAAUAUGCAGAGGGAGUAUGAAAUAUAUGAAGUGUUUAGUAGUCCAACAACACGUGUGUGCAUUUGUGUGGUCAGUGUAGCGUGUGUGUAUUUGUGUGGUUAGUGUAGCGUGUGUGUAUUUGUGUGGUUAGUAGUUAGUAGGUUAACUAGUUUGGGUCACGGCUCAAAUGUAGUGCACACAUUUAGACAACAGGGCUUUUUCAUAGGGCACUAGGGAAAACUAGUGCACUCCUUUAGAGAAUAGGGCUCUUUCAUAGUGCACUAGUUUAGAGAACAGGGCUCUUUCAUAGUGCACUAGUUUAGAGAACAGGGCUCUUUCAUAGUGCACUAGUUUAGAGAAUAGGGCUCUUUCAUAGUGCACUAGUUUAGAGAACAGGGCUCUUUCAUAGUGCACUAGUUUAGAGAACAGGGCUCUUUCAUAGUGCACUAGUUUAGAGAACAGGGCUCUUUCAUAGUGCACUAGUUUAGAGAACAGGGCUCUUUCAUAGUGCACUAGUUUAGAGAACAGGGCUCUUUCAUAGUGCACUAGUUUAGAGAACAGGACUCUUUCAUAGUACACUAGUUUUCCCCAGAGCCCUAUUUUGGCAUUUGUUUUCAUUAGGGUUGUUUGAGUGUUUAGAUGUGGACAUCUUAACCAGAAGUUACUAAAUGCAUAGAGAGGAAAUGGAGGGCAUUGUUAUUUUAAUGUUACAUGUUUCAAUGAGGUUCACAACAAGACUAUUAAAAGUUACCACGAGGGAAUGUUGAGGCAAACAGGUGGAGGAGACAGGUGGGGGAGACAGGUGUUCGAGGUCCCGGGUUUUUCCUGCCGUGUGUCUACUACCAACAGUUGUUGUUGUUGUUGUUGUUUGAGUUGAUAAAGUAUUUAUUACAAUUGUUUUUUGUUUAUUUAUUUUGGUUGUGAGAUUUAUUCAUUUUAGUGUGGUUUAUGAGUUGUGCUUUUGUUCAAAAGGCUGUUGCCUGUUUUUUUUGUAGAACCACAAUCAAAUUAAUAUUUGAAUAAAUGGUUUUACUAUAAAAUAAAUGUUAAUAUGAAGUACAUAAUAGUGUGUACAUUAUGGUGUUGCUGUAACCCCAAUAAAGCCCUGAUAACAAUGUGAAUCC